CUGGUUUCUUGGAAGGUAUGAUUGACAGUCACAUCUGUUAAGUUUAGUAUGUGGUCACGUCAACUCUCUCACCCAGUCUCUUUCGCUCUACCAUACAUAGCCUUAAAAAAUUAGGUAUGCAGUGUUGCAACAAAACGGACACGUUAAUGCAAAAAUAAAAAUAUAUUCCCUAUAUGGUGAAAGUUAGAGCUUGAAAAACUGCAUUUUAUAUAGUGCUCUGAAUCUCACCUUCACAGAAGUCUGGCGUAGCCACAAUAUCAGUACUUCAAAGAGCAAUUCGAUACAUUCUAAGAUUAUU